CACCGCCCGUUGCUCCUACCGAUUGAAUGGUCUGGUGAAGUGUUCGGAUCGCGGCGACGAGGGCGGUUCGCCGCUCCCGACGUCGCGAGAAGUCCAUUGAACCUUAUCAUUUAGAGGAAGGAGAAGUCGUAACAAGGUUUCCGUAGGUGAACCUGCGGAAG
rnacentral:rRNA from 16 species